GGAUGUGAGGGUGACCUGGUUGCAACAUCUGUCACCCCAGUGAUCGCCAGAGUUGACUCAGCUGAUCUGGCUGGCUAGGGGUGUGUCCCCUUCCCCCCUCCCCGCUCCAUGUGUGUCCCUCCUGAAGCUGUGCUUCCUUGAGUAGAGAGGACAGGUCUUUGGUUGAGGGUGUACGAGUAGCUGCACUCCCCUGCUAGGACCUCCAAACAAGCUCUCGCGAAGACUCAGCUGGCACCAGAGUCUGUGGCCCCCCGGGGACAAGCAAAGGUCCCAGAGGGUGGAUUCAACAAAGAAAGAGGCAGCACGCCCUGUGCUCCCCAGCUCCUU
rnacentral:snRNA from 1 species